rnacentral:rRNA from 1 species
AAAGUGAUUGAGCCAUGCCGCCUAGAAAAGCUUCUAAGCGUUGAUAUUUGAGUGACCGUACCGCAAACCGACACUGGUAGGUGGGUAGAAUAUACCAAGGGGAGCGAGAGAACCCUCGUUAAGGAAUUAGGCAAAUUUCCCCCGUACGUUCGCAAUAAGGGGGGCCUCUGGUGGUGAGCUUAAUCGCAAAGCUGCUGGAGGCCGCAGAGAAAUGGCUCUUCCAACUGUUUAACAAAAACACAGGUCUCUGCUAAGUCGAAAGACGAAGUAUAGGGGCUGACGCCUGCCCAGUGCUGGAAGGUUAAGGGGAGAGGUUAGGCGCAAGCCGAAGCUUUGAGCCGAAGCCCCAGUGAACGGCGGCCGUAACAAUAACGGUCCUAAGGUAGCGAAAUUCCUUGUCGGGUAAGAUCCGACCCGCACGAAUGGCGUAAUGAGAGGAGCACUGUCUCAACGAGGGACUCGGCGAACAUUGAAGGACGUGUGAAGAUACACGUGACCCGCAGCGGGACAAAAAGACCCCGUGAAGCUUUACUACAACUUGCCAUUGAGUUAGGGCUAAACCUGUGUAGUAUAGGUGGGAGGCUUUGAAGCUGGGACGCCAGUCUCGGUGGAGCCACCGUUGAAAUACCACCCUGGUUUAUUCUUGGCUCUAACCUGUCGCCGUUAUCCGGCAUGGGAACAGUGGCUGGUGGGUAGUUUGACUGGGGCGGUCGCCUCCGAAAGCGUAACAGAGGCGCCCAAAGGUUCCCUCAGGCUGAAUGGAAACCAGCCGUUGAGUGUAAAGGCACAAGGGAGCUUGACUGCAAGACCAACAAGUCGCGCAGGGACGAAAGUCGGGCUUAGUGAUCCCACGGUUCAGAGUGGAAUGCCGUGGCUUACCGGAUAAAAGCUACUCCGGGGAUAACAGGGUAGUCUGGUCCAAGAGUUCAUAUCGACGACCAGGUUCGCCACCUCGAUGUCGGCUCAUCACAUCCUGGGGCUGGAUAAGGUCCCAAGGGUUGGGCUGUUCGCCCAUUAAAGUGGUACGUGAGCUGGGUUCAGACCGUCGUGAGACAGGUCGGUCUCUAUCCGCUGUGGGCGUAAGGGAUUUGAGAGAAGCUGCCCCUAGUACGAGAGGACCGGGGUGGACGGACCUCUAGUGUGCCAGUUGUUCUGCCAAGAGCAUUGCUGGGUAGCUACGUCCGGCAGAGAUAACCGCUGAAAGCAUCUAAGUGGGAAACUCGUCUCAAGAUUAGAUCCCUCAUCCGUAUGGAGUAAGACCGCUAGAAGACUACUAGUUUGAUAGGCGGCAGGUGUAAGCGCAGUAAUGUGUUCAGCUUAGCCGUACUAAUGGUCGAGGGCUUACGCU